rnacentral:rRNA from 1 species
AUUGAACGCUGGCGGCACGCCUUACACAUGCAAGUCGAACGGCAGCACGGGAGCAAUCCUGGUGGCGAGUGGCGAACGGGUGAGUAAUGUAUCGGAACGUACCUUUCAGUGGGGGAUAACGUAGCGAAAGUUACGCUAAUACCGCAUAUUCUGUGAGCAGGAAAGCAGGGGAUCGCAAGACCUUGCGCUGAUUGAGCGGCCGAUAUCAGAUUAGCUAGUUGGUGAGGUAAAGGCUCACCAAGGCGACGAUCUGUAGCGGGUCUGAGAGGAUGAUCCGCCACACUGGAACUGAGACACGGUCCAGACUCCUACGGGAGGCAGCAGUGGGGAAUUUUGGACAAUGGGCGCAAGCCUGAUCCAGCCAUGCCGCGUGAGUGAAGAAGGCCUCGGUUGUAAG